rnacentral:rRNA from 1 species
GCCGAACGCUGGCGGCGUGCUUAACACAUGCAAGUCGAACGAUGAACCCGGAGCUUGCUCUGGGGGAUUAGUGGCGAACGGGUGAGUAACACGUGAGUAACCUGCCCUGGACUCUGGGAUAAGCGUUGGAAACGACGUCUAAUACCGGAUAGGACCUUGGAUCGCAUGAUCUGGGGUGGAAAGUUUUUUCGGUCUGGGAUGGACUCGCGGCCUAUCAGCUUGUUGGUGAGGUAAUGGCUCACCAAGGCGUCGACGGGUAGCCGGCCUGGGAGGGUGACCGGCCACACUGAGACUGACAGACGGCCCAGCCUCCUACGGGAGGCAGCAGUGGGGAAUAGUGCACAAUGGGCGAAAGCCUGAUGCAGCAACGCCGCGUGCGGGAUGACGGCGUUCGGGUUGUAAACCGCUUUUAGUAGGGAAGAAGGGCUUCGGCUUGACGGUACCUGCAGAAAAAGGACCGGCUAACUACGUG